ensembl:lncRNA
AGCUACUUCCAUUUUGCAUUUGCAAAGGCAAAUGAUCCAUCAUGUACUCAGAAAUCAGUUCAAAGUCACCAUUCAGGAUCUUUCCUCAAAGCAUGUUCCCUGGAACACUGUGAGAUGCUCCCUUAGGAAAGAGGGGAUGGGGUUCUGUGGUCAAAGAGGUUUGGAAAACUGUUCUGGACUCAGCCCGAAGCAACAUGUACAGUUUCUGUCCACUAAGGCAGAGCUGUGGAUGUCAGUGGCUGUGCAACAACAGGAUCAGGAGUUUCUAAAUAUAUCCCCCUCCUCACCCUGAGGCUGGGAAGAGCUGAGCAGGAGGCCACGUGGAAACCAAUAGCUACUGGGAUGGUCACCUGUGCCCCCUGCAUUCCUCCUGAGGGAGCUUUCCAGCCAUUCCCCAGAGAUACUCACUGUUCGCACGGGGCUGCCUUUCCGUGACUUGUCUGGUGAUGCCAAGAGUGGCUCCUGAGCCUGCCAGAGAUGGGCGAAGGGUCAGAGGACACGAGAACCAUGCCACAUGGGAAUGUGACAGCUUCACCUGCCCCUUGAGGAGUCACCGAGCCAUACAUCAUGUCCUGAAGCCAAGACCCCUUCCACCACCUAGAAGCUACAGGUGGAGCCUUUGUUGCUAAGUCACUCAAUCGUGUCUGACUCUUUGGCACCCCAUGGACUACAGCACACCAGGCUUCCCUGUCCUUCACCAUCUCCUGGAGUUUGCUCAGAUUCAUGUCCAUUGAGUUGGUGAUGCCAUCCAUCUUGUCCCCUUCUCCUCCUGCCUUCAAUCUUUUCCAGCAUCAGGGUCUGCCUCUUCAAGCCAUAUUCAACACAUCCAAUAUGAUCUGAUGUCAAGAUGACGGGCGUCAGCUUCCUGGAAGGGAUCCGCUUUGCAGCUGGAGAGACAUCUAUGUAACCUGCAAGGAACAUGUUUAUAAAACAACAGAACAGCAAGAAAAAAUGGGUGCUGGGAGAGACAGCAGGAGAGGCCAACUAUUUAGGCUCCUCACUGGGGCUUGCAUGCAGUUGACAGGGACACCAUGAC